rnacentral:rRNA from 1 species
GAUGAACGCUGGCGGCGUGCCUAAUACAUGCAAGUAGAGCGCUGAAGGAGGGGCUUGCUUCCCCGGAUGAGUUGCGCACGGGGGAGUAACACGUAGGUAACAUGCAUGGUAGCGGGGGAUAACUCUUGGAGAAGAUAGCUAUUACCGCAUAAUAGAAGAUGUAGCAUGACAUUUGCUUAAAAAGUGCAAUUUCAUCACUACCAGUUGGACGUGCGUUGUAUUAGUUAGUUGGUGAGGAGACCGCUCACCAAGGAGACGAUUCCUAGUCGCCCUGGGAGGGGGAUCGGCCAACCUGGGACUGGGACACGGCCCCAGCUCCUAAGGGGGGCAACAGGAGGGGAUCUUCGGCAAUUGGCGGAAGUCUGACCGAGCCACGCCGCGGGAGUGAAGAAGGUUUUCGGGUCGUAAAGCUCCUUUGUUAGGGGAGAACGAAUGUUGUAGUUGAAUGUUCACGCUGUGACGGUAUCUUACCAGAAAGCGACGGCUAACUACGUG